AUUCAUCAUAGAGAGGGUUGACUUCACAUCUCCCCCUUUUUGAUGAUGAAAAAUAAUCCUCUUUGAUGUGAGCAAUUUCCGGAAACAAAAAUUUCUCCCCCUGAGAUGUAUAACUCCCCCUAAAUUUGAGAAGCUUAUGAUCAUGUUGACUUGAUCAUCUUGAAGGAGAUUUGUAUCAUUUGUAUCGUAGGAAAUUCACAAGCAUACGAGCAUAAUUCAUAACACCUUUCUC
rnacentral:lncRNA from 1 species